rnacentral:rRNA from 1 species
UACGUAGGGUGCAAGCGUUGUCCGGAAUUAUUGGGCGUAAAGAGCUUGUAGGCGGUUUGUCGCGUCUGCUGUGAAAUUUCGGGGCUCAACCCCGAACUUGCAGUGGGUACGGGCAGACUAGAGUGUGGUAGGGGAGACUGGAAUUCCUGGUGUAGCGGUGAAAUGCGCAGAUAUCAGGAGGAACACCAAUGGCGAAGGCAGCACUCUGGGACGUGACUGACGCUGAGACGCGAGAGCGUGGGGAGCAAACAGG